rnacentral:rRNA from 1 species
UACGUAGGGUCCAAGCGUUAUCCGGAAUUACUGGGCGUAAAGCGUGCGCAGGCGGCUAUGCAAGACAGAUGUGAAAUCCCCGGGCUCAACCUGGGAAUGGCAUUUGGGACUGCAAGGCUUGAGUGCGGCAGAGGAUACUAGAAUUCCUGGUGUAGCAGUGAAAUGCGUAUAUAUCAGGAGGAAUACCGAUGGCGAAGGCAGUUCUCUGGGCUGACACUGACGCUCAUGCACGAAAGCGUGGGGAGCAAACAGG